rnacentral:rRNA from 1 species
UACAGAGGGGGGCAAGCGUUGUUCGGAAUUACUGGGCGUAAAGGGCGCGUAGGCGGCCUUCUAAGUCGAACGUGAAAUCCCCGGGCUCAACCCGGGAACUGCGUCCGAUACUGGAUGGCUUGAGUUCGGGAGAGGGAUGCGGAAUUCCAGGUGUAGCGGUGAAAUGCGUAGAUAUCUGGAGGAACACCGGUGGCGAAGGCGGCAUCCUGGACCGACACUGACACUGAGGAGCGAAAGCCAGGGGAGCAAACGGG